rnacentral:sRNA from 1 species
UUACGAGCCGAGUGGCCGUAAAGCUGGC